AAGAAUGCGUGACCUACCAGAAACUUAUUAAAUUCCUUUAACACUGUUCCAAGGUGAAACGCACGUAUUUUUCCACAUCAUCCAUAAUGCAUAGUGAAAAUUAAGCUCAAAGGGGCUAAUAACGAUUUUUUUUUUCUUUUUGCAUUCCUGCAUUCACAAGUAAUGUAUUGCAUUUCUUAGAAAAGAAGAACAGCGUCCGAAAGGAAAAAGCGGAAGAGCCUCAGACCCAUGACCCUGUGAAGAUCUUCCUACCAGAGGCCAAAGAGGAGGAACAAUCCAUCUGUCGUCUUCUCCAGCUUGGAUGGUUUUUGUUGAGAAAGAUGCAGCAGCUGGUGGCCUGUUAUGUGCUUCCUACUUCACUCCCAUCUUUCUUAGCUUAUCUCUCACUUUCUCCUCCUUUUUUCUCUCUCUCUCUCUCUCUCUCUUUUUUCCUUCAUCUGUCCCUCCUUUUCAGUCAGCUCAGCCACUGCAAUGUUUUACAUGUGCUAAAAAUGAAAGAAAUAAAUAAAAUAAAAAGAAAUCGACCAACAUGAGGGGCCCGUACAGAGUUAUGAGCCCCUCAUGGUAAAGCAAACAUGUUUGGCACAGCAGGGCAUUCAGACCAUGAUUCUGCUUGCUAAAGCUGCCAGACAUGACAAAAAAAAAUAAAAAUAAAUGACCUGGGACUCAAUGCAUUCAUAGUUAAAUACACUUAAGUGUCCUGCUAUCAUAUAGGACACAAGCAGAAAAGGAGAAAUAUUUGGACCGUCCUAGUAUUUCAUGGUUUGACGAAGAGCACAUCCUGUAUGUCAGGUCGUACGCCCAUCUCCCGGAGAAGAGCUUAUAGGUAAAAUUAGGGAAGUGCCAGACAGUAGUCAUCCUGUACUAGAUCGACCUUUUACCGCAACCAUGCAGUAUGGACGUUCUUGAACUUUGCUCACAUUUAUUAAUGACGUUUGUAGUUUCAGCUUUGUCCUCUCACUGCUGACUGCAGUCCUGAAAAGCGAAGGUGCAAAGGCCCUUUGACGAGUGGAAAACUUUAUUUACAUUAGCCCUGAUUUUCAUACACUCCAAUCACAGCUCUUUCUUGGACAUUUCCAAAAUAGCAAUGGGGCAGUUCUGUCUCCGGCCAAUAUGAACAGUUUCUACUUGUUACUGAACAAUGGAUGCACUGCUCAGUGGAGCCCUCUGUCCUGUCGUACUGUAUACCUCAGUAUAUUUAGAUAAAUAAUGUAUAGUGUAUAUUAUCACCCCUCUCACCCUCAUUGUGACCUGUCUUGUGUGCUGUUGUGUAUUAUGUUGCACAUAUGGUCAUGGAGAACGAUAUUUCGUCUCACUCUAUAAAUAUUGUGUAUUGUUAGGAUGGCAAUAAAGCUCUAC